rnacentral:rRNA from 1 species
UGCGUAGGCGGGCUAAUAAGUCAGUGGUGAAAUCUCUCGGCUCAACCGGGAAACUGCCAUUGAUACUGUUAGUCUUGAGUUCGGUUGAGGUAGGCGGAAUGUGUAAUGUAGCGGUGAAAUGCUUAGAUAUUACACAGAACACCAAUUGCGUAGGCGGCUUACUAGACCGACACUGACGCUGAGGCACGAAAGCGUGGGGAGCGAACAGGAUUAGAUACCCUGGUAGUCC